rnacentral:rRNA from 1 species
UACGUAGGGUGCAAGCGUUAAUCGGAAUACUGGCGUAAAGGCGUGACGCAGGCGGUGAUGUAAGACAGAUGUGAAAUCCCCGGGCUUAACCUGGGAACUGCAUUUGUGACUGCAUGGCUGGAGUGCGGCAGAGGGGGAUGGAAUUCCGCGUGUAGCAGUGAAAUGCGUAGAUAUGCGGAGGAACACCGAUGGCGAAGGCAAUCCCCUGG